rnacentral:rRNA from 1 species
CAACCUGCCCUUUACUCGGGGAUAGCCUUUCGAAAGAAAGAUUAAUACCCGAUGGGAUAAUUAUUCCGCAUGGUUUGAUUAUUAAAGGAUUCCGGUAAAGGAUGGGGAUGCGUUCCAUUAGGUUGUUGGUGAGGUAACGGCUCACCAAGCCUUCGAUGGAUAGGGGUUCUGAGAAGAAGGUCCCUCACAUUGGAACUGAGACACGGUCCAAACUCCUACGGGAGGCAGCAGUGAGGAAUAUUGGUCAAUGGGCGCUAGCCUGAACCAGCCAAGUAGCGUGAAGGAUGAAGGCUCUAUGGGUCGUAAACUUCUUUUAUAUAAGAAUAAAGUGCAGUAUGUAUACUGUUUUGUAUGUAUUAUAUGGAUAAGGAUCGGCUAACUCCGUGCCAGCAGCCGCGGUAAUACGGAGGAUCCGAGCGUUAUCCGGAUUUAUUGGGUUUAAAGGGAGCGUAGGUGGACUGGUAAGUCAGUUGUGAAAGUUUGCGGCUCAACCGUAAAAUUGCAGUUGAUACUGUCAGUCUUGAGUACAGUAGAGGUGGGCGGAAUUCGUGGUGUAGCGGUGAAAUGCUUAGAUAUCACGAAGAACUCCGAUUGCGAAGGCAGCUCACUGGACUGCAACUGACA